rnacentral:rRNA from 1 species
UACAGAGGGGGCAAGCGUUGUUCGGAAUUACUGGCGUAAAGGGCGCGUAGGCGGCCUGUUAAGUCGGACGUGAAAUCCCCGGGCUCAACCCGGGAACUGCGUCCGAUACUGGCAGGCUUGAAUCCGGGAGAGGGAUGUGGAAUUCCAGGUGUAGCGGUGAAAUGCGUAGAUAUCUGGAGGAACACCGGUGGCGAAGGCGGCAUCCUGGACCGGCAUUGACGCUGAGGCGCGAAAGCCAGGGGAGCAAACGGG